GGAAAAAGAGCACCAAAGACCCAGAUUUUGACAUCAUUUCCUGGUUGAACAAGAUGAAGCAGAGUAAUAAAUGGGUAGGCUUUACCUGAUUGGCUGAAUUCAGCUUCCUCGGACCCGGAAGAGCUUGGUAUCUGAUCGGCGGGGGGCAUUUUCUCUAUAUAAGAAGAAGAAGGAGACUCGCUACCCACCUGAUAUAUUUUGUCGAACAGAUUUCUGUACAUUGCAGUGACAACUGUAUCCAGAUUUCAUCACAGGAAUGAAAGUUUUUCACUCUUUGGAACAGUACCUGCAGCAGGGAGGGGUCAUUCAUUAAGAUGGUCACAGAUUCCAAGACACUGAAGUGACAGGCCUCAAAUUUCAUACUUGUAUAUUGGAAAAAGAGCACCAAAGACCCAGAUUUUGACAUCAUUUCCUGGUUGAACAAGAUGAAGCAGAGUAAUAAAUGGGUAGGCUUUACCUGAUUGGCUGAAUUCAGG